rnacentral:rRNA from 1 species
GAGUUUGAUCCUGGCUCAGAUUGAACGCUGGCGGCAUGCCUUACACAUGCAAGUCGAACGGCAGCACGGGUGCUUGCACCUGGUGGCGAGUGGCGAACGGGUGAGUAAUACAUCGGAACAUGUCCUGUAGUGGGGGAUAGCCCGGCGAAAGCCGGAUUAAUACCGCAUACGAUCUGAGGAUGAAAGCGGGGGACCUUCGGGCCUCGCGCUAUAGGGUUGGCCGAUGGCUGAUUAGCUAGUUGGUGGGGUAAAGGCCUACCAAGGCGACGAUCAGUAGCUGGUCUGAGAGGACGACCAGCCACACUGGGACUGAGACACGGCCCAGACUCCUACGGGAGGCAGCAGUGGGGAAUUUUGGGCAAUGGGCGAAAGCCUGAUCCAGCAAUGCCGCGUGUGUGAAGAAGGCCUUCGGGUUGUAAAGCACUUUUGUCCGGAAAGAAAUCCUUGGUUCUAAUAUAGCCGGGGGAUGACGGUACCGGAAGAAUAAGCACCGGCUAACUACGUGCCAGCAGCCGCGGUAAUACGUAGGGUGCAAGCGUUAAUCGGAAUUACUGGGCGUAAAGCGUGCGCAGGCGGUUUGCUAAGACCGAUGUGAAAUCCCCGGGCUCAACCUGGGAACUGCAUUGGUGACUGGCAGGCUAGAGUAUGGCAGA